rnacentral:rRNA from 1 species
UACAGGGGGUGCAAACGUUGCUCGGAAUCAUUGGGCGUAAAGCGCACGUAGGCGGUUCGUUAUGUCGGAUGUGAAAGCCCUUGGCUUAACCGAGGAAGUGCAUCCGAAACUGGCGAGCUAGAGUACUAAAGAGGAUCGCGGAAUUCCCGGUGUAGAGGUGAAAUGCGUAGAUAUCGGGAGGAACACCUGUGGCGACAGCGGCGCACUGGACCACAACUGACGCUGAGGCGCGAAAGCUAGGGGAGCAAACAGG